rnacentral:rRNA from 1 species
UACAGAGGUCUCAAGCGUUUGUUCGGAUUCAUUGGGCGUAAAGGGUGUGUAGGUGGCGCGCUAAGUCGGGUGUGAAAUUUCGGAGCUUAACUCCGAAACUGCAUUCGAUACUGGCGUGCUUGAGGACUGGAGAGGAGACUGGAAUUCAUGGUGUAGCAGUGAAAUGCGUAGAUAUCGUGAGGAAGACCAGUGGCGAAGGCGGGUCUCUGGACAGUUCCUGACACUGAGGCACGAAGGCCAGGGGGAGCAAACGGG